AUGAACGCUGGCGGCGCGCCUAAUACAUGCAAGUCGAGCGCACGGACGAGAAGCUUGCUUCUCUGAUGUUAGCGGCGGACGGGUGAGUAACACGUGGAUAACCUACCUAUAAGACUGGGAUAACUUCGGGAAACCGGAGCUAAUACCGGAUAAUAUUUUGAACCGCAUGGUUCAAAAGUGAAAGACGGUCUUGCUGUCACUUAUAGAUGGAUCCGCGCUGCAUUAGCUAGUUGGUAAGGUAACGGCUUACCAAGGCAACGAUGCAUAGCCGACCUGAGAGGGUGAUCGGCCACACUGGAACUGAGACACGGUCCAGACUCCUACGGGAGGCAGCAGUAGGGAAUCUUCCGCAAUGGGCGAAAGCCUGACGGAGCAACGCCGCGUGAGUGAUGAAGGUCUUCGGAUCGUAAAACUCUGUUAUUAGGGAAGAACAUAUGUGUAAGUAACUGUGCACAUCUUGACGGUACCUAAUCAGAAAGCCACGGCUAACUACGUG
rnacentral:rRNA from 1 species